CUUCACAUCGCACCGGACACCUGCCAGACAAGAGUGCGCGGGCGGCAUCGCUUCCACGCGCCUGCUGUUGCUCGAACCGUGUCCUUUUCCCUUGCCUUGGUCCGUCCUGUCUCCCCGCCUCCUUGUCUCAGAGAACACAAGUGUCUUCGGGCGUGGCGCUGAUUGCCUCGAGAGAAGCAUUUCCAUAACCAGGCAAAGAUCCAAAGGCCAUUGAGCUCUCUUGCAAGCUCACAUUGCCAGGAGGAGCGAGCGCCGAGGCAAAACGGACUUUCGCGCAGCAAUCUUGAGAUAAUUGGGUCAACAGCGGAUCGCCAAGAAUCCCAUCUGGAGGGCCCCUCAGCCCCGACACCUCAGCAAGACUGAUAACCGCGCUGUAAAUACGUCAGGGUAUCGAAGACCUCGUUCUACCCCGUGACCUCUGUGCUUCGUCUCGCUCGUUCGCUUGUUCGUGAAACAGUGGCCGAAUUUUGUUUGAAAUAGAGC
rnacentral:lncRNA from 1 species